CUGAAGGAUAACUGUGGUAAUUCUAGAGCUAAUACAUGCAGAACGGAUGCAGUUAUUAGAAUAAAACCAAGUUUGGUGAAUCUGAAUAACGCACGGUCUUCGCACCGGCGACAUAUCCUUCAAAUGUCUGCCUUAUCAACCGUCGAUGGUAGUUUAUGCGCCUACCAUGGUUGUAACGGGUAACGGAGAAUUAGGGUUCGACUCCGGAGAGGGAGCCUGAGAAACGGCUACCACAUCUAAGGAAGGCAGCAGGCACGCAAAUUACCCACUCUUGGCGAGGAGGUAGUGACGAAGAAUAACAGGACGGUCUCUUAUGUCACUGGAAUGAGUACAGUUUAAAUCCUUUAACGAGGAUCUAUUGGAGGGCAAGUCUGGUGCCAGCAGCCGCGGUAAUUCCAGCUCCAAUAGCGUAUAUUAAAGUUGUUGCGUUUAAAAAGCUCGUAGUUGAAUCUGCUUGGUUGGCGGUCCCUUAACAGGUGUUGUCCGGUUUUCCCUUGAUGCUCUUCACUGAGCGUCCUGGGUGGCUGGAGAGUUUACUUUGAAAAAAUCAGAGUGCUCAAAGCAGGCUUUUAGUCUGAAUGGUGGUGCAUGGAAUAAUGGAAUAAGAGGUUUUAUUUUCAUGGCUUUCGAAUCUCGAGGUAAUGAUUAAGAGGGACAGACGGGGGCAUUCGUAUUGCAGCGUUAGAGGUGAAAUUCUUGGA
rnacentral:rRNA from 1 species